UACGUAGGUGGCGAGCGUUGUCCGGAUUUACUGGGCGUAAAGAGCGCGCAGGCGGUCGUACAAGUCGCGUGUGAAAGCCCCCGGCUCAACUGGGGAGGGUCACGCGAUACUGUUCGACUCGAAGGCAGGAGAGGGAAGUGGAAUUCCCAGUGUAGUGGUGAAAUGCGUAGAUAUCGGGAGGAACACCAGUGGCGAAGGCGACUUCCUGGCCUGUUCUUGACGCUGAGGCGCGAAAGCUAGGGUAGCAAACGGG
rnacentral:rRNA from 1 species